GCGAAAGUAGCUUAGUGGUUAAAGCCCCCCGCUCAUAACGGGUUGAUCGUAGGUUCAAAUCCUACCUUUCGCACCA
rnacentral:tRNA from 1 species